rnacentral:misc_RNA from 1 species
GUAGGUGAACCUGCGGAAGGAUCAUUCGUGUAAUACCGACAAAGGGGCUUCGGCCUUGGCGUCUACUUAUACUCACACUGUGAACAUUUAAAACCAACAUUGGUGACCAUGUAGCGUUGGCAUUGGCUUUGCUAGUGCCAACGAAAAGCUGGCUCCAGGGGCAAAGUUAACCAAACAUAUCAUUAUAGCCUAAACAAACAUUAAUUUUAUACAACCUUUAACAAUGGAUCUCUUGGCUCCU